UGGGUGGGCAGAAAGGUUAUUAGAGAACCACAGAGAGCUGACAAGCAAAGGAUCCAGAGCAUAUUGAUGGAAGCAAUCUGCCUACCCUGUACACCUCCUGAAGAAUCAAAUGAAAACCAAAUGGACAAAAAAAUUGAAGAAUAUCUACUAUGUGCACAACUUUGUAUUAGAUGCCAAUGAAAGGUUUAUUAGCUUUUGGACACUUUCUCUGAUUAAUGCCAUCAACUAUCUCAUAACAUCAGUGAAAAUGCACCAAAGUAUACUGAAAACCAGCUAAAAUACAGUAAUAGCUCUAUUCACAAACCUUUCAUCAUCUUAUAAAAACAAGAAGGUAAGAGGAAAAAUGCGGGGAAUGGGUAUGUAAUGAAUGGUGGUGCAGAUCACUGAGAAAUGGGGAUGAAACAUGUAGCAGUUUUAAAAGCAAACAAGACAUGGAAGGGGAGAGAAAUCACUGGAGGCAUGGGGGCAAAGGGGAGCAUUUUUCAUAUAAGGGUACUUCAAUCAGGCAUAGCUAUAAACCAGACAUUUUUAUAUAUCAUUCCAUUAUGUUUAAAAGUACUUGGUAGAUUCUGUGUCAAAUCAAUGGAACAAUAUUCAUUUGAUGAAAGUUUUCUACUUUGUACUGUAACUUGAGAAGGAGCAUAAUAAUGAAUUCUAGGUCAUAAGUUUAAACUUUAUUUCAAAUAGAAAUGUUAUCUCUCUCUUACAUGAUAAACAACAUCUCAGACAGAUAGUCUGUUCUGGCUAAUGGAAAAGUUUAAAAAAAAGAGAGAGAGAGAAAGAUUACUCAAACACAGAUAACUUCAUGAUUUCCAAUUUCCUGGGAGUAAAAGCAGUUUGUUAUGAAAUAGGACCCAGUCUCACAUGCAGUGGGUACUCGGCCAGUGCUGCUUUCAGAACCCAAGACAACUAAGAAGGAGUGUCCAGUUCAGGAGUAACACACACACAUAUACACAAAUAAAUAAAAGCCACAUGCAUUUUUGCUGUUGUAGUGUUUUAACUAUCCUAACUGCAGGUUUACAUUCAUCCUUGUUGGAAGCAAGAUCAGUUUAUUGACUCUAUUUGGUCUUACUGACCUUUGAGUUAAAGUGUUUUAAAAAGUUAGUACUACUAUCAAUUAUGAAAGGAAGGGAAGACGUUCAAUAUUUAACUUAUCUUGAAAUGGUUAAAAUUAGGUGCUUGCUUAGAUGGAAGAAUCAGAUUAUAAUAUGCAGUCUGGAAAUGUUUGUUCAUUUAUUAGAGCAGCCUUGCCGAAAACUUAAAACCAUCAGGGCUGCUUGCUUUUUUCACCAGACUAUUUCAAAUUCACAGUGUCAGAGGUGUGACAUCUGCUGUAAAUAAGCAUCAGCUCAGCCUGAAGAAAUACAAUUCCACUAGAGCUUUGUGUCAACUCUUAUAAAUAUUUUUUUCUUCUCAUCGCAUGAUUUCUUUUAGGCUUUUGUUCUGCAGCCAGCAUUCUUUUUAUCUAUUAAUAUAACAUUAUUUUGUAAGUCAUUCUAAAGUCAUAUUUUACAUAUAUAUAUAUAUGUAAAAUGUCUUACUAUUAGGACAUUUGACCAGAGCACAAGAAAUUUUAAAAGAAGAAUUCCAUCAUGAUUACCUGAUAAGUGAGGCAAUAAUUUGUUAUCUAGAGAAGUAGAUGUAAAUGUCCAAACAAUAUAUAAAAGAAUUUUAACACCAUAUUAAAAAUACCUUAGGUAUACAAAAUAAGGACUAUAAAAUAGUGACUAGCUCACAUUUUAUCACAUACACUUCUUCAUUAAAACACAGAAGGAAGAGAGAACAUGAGAAAUUCCAAAGGAAAGAAAGACGUAUAGAAGUCAAGAAUCAAUUUUGGUGGCAUGACUGAUGUACUGUACAUACAAGAUUAGAUAACAGCUUCAAAUUUAUACUGGUUGUUUGCAAGCCAGGGGCAAAAGGGCGCUAGAUUAAAAGAUGUUACCCUAGUUUUAGCAAAGUAAAUAUCUUCUGGGUUAUUCAAAGCUUUGAAGUUACCUAUGACUGGGUUACCUUUGAUGCAACUAAUAAUGCUGGUAGAAUCUGAGUUUUUACGAAGACAGAAUGUUAAAACACCUCUCUAUUGGUGUAUGGCUGACUGACUACUGAAUUACUAGCACUUACUACUAACUACUAGCACUUCCUACUUACUAACUAAUUAUUAUUUUUUGAGACAGAGUCUUGCUGUGUCACCCAGACUGGAGUGCAAUGGCACCAUCACAGCUCACUACAGCCUAGAGCUCCUGGGCUCAAGCAAUCCUCUUGCCUCAGCCUCCCAAGUACCUGGGACUACAGGUGUGUGCCGCCAUGCCUUGGCUAAUUUUUGUAUUUUUAGUGGAGACGAGGUCUCACUAUGUUGCCUAGGCUGGUCUCGAACUUCUAGGCUCGGCUCAAGUGAUCCACCUACCUUGGCCUCCCAAAGUGCUGGGAUUACAGGUGUGAGCCAGAAUACCCCCAGCCCCCUGCAUUAUUAUUACAUUAUUGAAUUAGUAAGAAACAUUAAUCAUCUUUCCAUUUUGACAAUGUUUAUAUGAAUAGCAUUAAAAGCAUUUAUAGAGGGCCAGUGGUCUUAGAACACAGUGCCUGGUAUGAUUUAACCAAAAUGUGUUCUCAGUACAAAUUCAUGUGCAAGAGCCAAAAGAAGACUAUCCCAAGCCAUCACCUGUCUUGACAGCUACACAGCAAUGAGAAGGAAUUAAAACCAUUUUGCUCAAGUCAGAAAGGAAAGGCUUCUAAUGAUCGAUAAGUUUGGUCUCCCAUUCCAGCACCAGCUACCGCUGAGGAAAACGAUGAAGUAUAAAUGAGAAGUAAAUGACCUCUGUCCAUUUCUCCCUCUGGCCCAACUGCUCUUCCAGUGACAGACUAUAUAUUGCCUUUUGCCAAGAAUCAGCAGUUCUUCAACUGUUCACCAUGUACAGGGGCAAAUUCUAUCCUGGAGAGUGGAGAGUCAACUGAUUUCCCUUCCCCACUGUGGAAAAAGCCAGUUUUGGCUUCAUUUGCAUAUUCAUGUCAAUAUACUUGAUCUACAAAUAUGUCUAUUCUUUGAUUCUCCUUUGAACAAGUUACAACAUUUGGUUCUCUCACUUAACUGUGUUCAAUAAAUUCUUUAACACUUAUUCAUCUGAUAUUUGCAUAAAAAUCAUAAUGCUGCCUUUUUUGAAAAUUAUCCUUUAACAUACAGUAAAUAUGCACCACAGAGCCACUACAUAAGAUGCAAGAAACAUUUAUAAGCACUUUUAGGCACAGAGUCUUCUAUUUCACCAACUAGCUUUAACACUGAAUUAUUGGACCCAAUUUUAGUUUUUUUGUUUCUUCUCAGUGCUUUUGUUUUUCCUAUAUCUUGAAACAUUUUGAUCUUUCAUAGUAUUGGGACCUAUUU
rnacentral:lncRNA from 1 species